rnacentral:lncRNA from 1 species
AUGGAGGGCCCUAAUCCAAAGAAAGCACAGCAGCUGAGGAAACUGUCCAUUGCUGGUCUGAGCUUUGAAACCACAGAUGGUAGCUUAAGAGAACAUUCUGAGAAAUGGGGCACACUUACAGACUGUGUGGUUUCGUGACCUACUCUUGUGUUGAAGAGGUGGAUGCUGCACUGUGUGCUCGGCCACACACGCUUGAUGGGCGUGUGGUGGAACCAACGAGAGCUGUUUCUAGAGAGGAUUCUGUAAAGCCUGGGGCCCAUUUAACGGUGAAGAAAAUUUUUGUUGGUGGUAUUAAAGAGGAUACGGAAGAAUAUAACCUGAGAGACUACUUUGAAAAGUGUGGCAAGAUUGAAACCAUAGACAUUAUGAAAGACAAGCAGAGUGGGAAAAAGAAGAUUUGCUUUUGUAACUUUU